rnacentral:rRNA from 1 species
AACAGGAUUAGAUACCCUGGUAGUCCACGCCCUAAACGAUGUCUACUAGUUGUCGGGUUUUAAUUAACUUGGUAACGCAGCUAACGCGUGAAGUAGACCGCCUGGGGAGUACGGUCGCAAGAUUAAAACUCAAAGGAAUUGACGGGGACCCGCACAAGCGGUGGAUGAUGUGGAUUAAUUCGAUGCAACGCGAAAAACCUUACCUACCCUUGACAUGUCAGGAACCUCGGAGAGAUCUGAGGGUGCUCGAAAGAGAGCCUGAGCACAGGUGCUGCAUGGCUGUCGUCAGCUCGUGUCGUGAGAUGUUGGGUUAAGUCCCGCAACGAGCGCAACCCUUGUCAUUAGUUGCUACGAAAGGGCACUCUAAUGAGACUGCCGGUGACAAACCGGAGGAAGGUGGGGAUGACGUCAAGUCCUCAUGGCCCUUAUGGGUAGGGCUUCACACGUCAUACAAUGGUACAUACAGAGGGCCGCCAACCCGCGAGGGGGAGCUAAUCCCAGAAAGUGUAUCGUAGUCCGGAUUGUAGUCUGCAACUCGACUACAUGAAGUUGGAAUCGCUAGUAAUCGCGGAUCAGCAUGUCGCGGUGAGUACGUUCCCGGGUCUUGUACACACCGCCCGUCACACCAUGGGAGCGGGUUUUACCAGAAGUAGGUAGCUUAACCGUAAGGAGUGCGCUUACCACGGUAGGAUUCGUGACUGGGGUGAAGUCGUAACAAGGUAACC